AACGAACGCUGGCGGCAUGCCUAACACAUGCAAGUCGAACGAGACCUUCGGGUCUAGUGGCGCACGGGUGCGUACCGCGUGGGAACCUGCCCUUAGGUUCGGAAUAACUCCCCGAAAGGGGUGCUAAUACCGGUUAAUGUCUUCGGACCAAGGAUUUAUCGCCUUGGAUGGGCCCGCGUUGGAUUAGCUCGUUGGUAGGGUAACAGCCUACCAAGGCGACGAUCCAUAGCUGGUCUGAGAGGAUGAUCAGCCACACUGGGACUGAGACACGGCCCAGACUCCUACGGGAGGCAGCAGUGGGGAAUAUUGGACGAUGGGCGAAAGCCUGAUCCAGCAAUGCCGCGUGAGUGAUGAAGGCCUUAGGGUUGUAAAGCUCUUUUACCCGGGAUGAUAAUGACAGUACCGGGAGAAUAAGCUCCGGCUAACUCCGUG
rnacentral:rRNA from 1 species